rnacentral:lncRNA from 1 species
GUAUGACUUCCCUUAUUUGCUUGAUGCCAAUGGGAUUAUAUGCUCUUGCCUGCCUGCAGAAUGGAAGAAGUCAAAGCAAGUUGACAGGGCAUAUUGUGGAAGUUGCAGACAUGUAAGCCACAACCAGAUGGAAGUCCUCCUUUACUGAAGUUUGUAUGAAAUUGUUGGAACAUACAUCCAAAUGCUCACUGUUGCUGUAAAUGCAGAGUAGAUAAACCUAUAAAAUGCAAAAUGAUUCCCCAUAAUGACUUGGUGUAUCACUCUUUUAUCAAUGUAUAUAAUACAUUGUUAUUCUGGUCAGCGUUGACAUUCUAUUCCAAGGAUGCUGUUAUUUGUUAUAGAAGUGGAAUAUAGUUUAAUUCCCCGUAAUGACUUGGUGUGUCACUCUUUUAUCAGUGUAUAUAAUACAUUGUUAUUCUGGUCAGCAUUGACAUUCUAUUCAAAGGAUGCUGUUAUUUGUUAUAAAAGUGGAAUAUAGUUUUCUCAUUUCAA